AUAAGCGGCGGAAACGCCGUCUAAUACCGCGUGACAACCCGAGGGGGCAUCCCCUUGGGUUCAAAGGAGAGAUCCGGUACCGGCUGGGCAUGCGGCGCAUUAGCUAGUUGGCGGGGCAACGGCCCACCAAGGCGACGAUGCGUAGGGGUUCUGAGAGGAAGGUCCCCCACACUGGAACUGAGACACGGUCCAGACUCCUACGGGAGGCAGCAGUGAGGAAUAUUGGUCAAUGGGCGCAAGCCUGAACCAGCCAAGUCGCGUGAGGGAAGACGGCCCUACGGGUUGUAAACCUCUUUUGCCGGGGAGCAAGCCUGAGCACGUGUGCCCAGGCGGAGAGUACCCGGAGAAAAAGCAUCGGCUAACUCCGUGCCAGCAGCCGCGGUAAUACGGAGGAUGCGAGCGUUAUCCGGAUUUAUUGGGUUUAAAGGGUGCGCAGGCGGGCUGUUAAGCCGGCGGUAAAAAUUCAGGGCUCAACCCUGUCGAGCCGUCGGAACUGGCAGUCUUGAGUGGGCGAGAAGUAUGCGGAAUGCGUGGUGUAGCGGUGAAAUGCAUAGAUAUCACGCAGAACGCCGAUUGCGAAGGCAGCAUACCGGCGCCCAACUGACGCUGAGGCACGAAAGCGUGGGGAUCGAACAGGAUUAGAUACCCUGGUAGUCCACGCAGUAAACGAUGAGCGCUAACUGUCCGGAGCGAGCGAGCUCUGGGUG
rnacentral:rRNA from 1 species